UACAGAGGUCUCAAGCGUUGUUCGGAUUCAUUGGGCGUAAAGGGUGCGUAGGCGGCGCGGUAAGUCGGGUGUGAAAUCUCGGGGCUUAACUCCGAAACUGCAUUCGAUACUGCCGUGCUUGAGGACUGGAGAGGAGACUGGAAUUUACGGUGUAGCGGUGAAAUGCGUAGAUAUCAGGAGGAACACCGGUGGCGAAGGCGGGUCUCUGGACAGUUCCUGACGCUGAGGCACGAAGGUCAGGGGAGCAAACGGG
rnacentral:rRNA from 1 species